AUUGAACGCUGGCGGCAGGCCUAACACAUGCAAGUCGAGCGGAUGAAGGGAGCUUGCUCCUGGAUUCAGCGGCGGACGGGCGAGUAAUGCCUAGGAAUCUGCCUGGUAGUGGGGGAUAACGUCCGGAAACGGGCGCUAAUACCGCAUACGUCCUGAGGGAGAAAGUGGGGGAUCUUCGGACCUCACGUUAUCAGAUGAGCCUAGGUCGGAUUAGCUAGUUGGUGGGGUAAAGGCCUACCAAGGCGACGAUCCGUAACUGGUCUGAGAGGAUGAUCAGUCACACUGGAACUGAGACACGGUCCAGACUCCUACGGGAGGCAGCAGUGGGGAAUAUUGGACAAUGGGCGAAAGCCUGAUCCAGCCAUGCCGCGUGUGUGAAGAAGGUCUUCGGAUUGUAAAGCACUUUAAGUUGGGAGGAAGGGCAGUAAGUUAAUACCUUGCUGUUUUGACGUUACCAACAGAAUAAGCACCGGCUAACUUCGUG
rnacentral:rRNA from 1 species